AUCUACACAAAGAAUAAAAUUGCUCAGUUGCUAGUUAAUCGCACAGUAUCAUCAAAUAACUCCCCAUAACGAAGCCCAAGUGUUUUAGAACAAUAACAAGCGUUGGAAAUCAUUCAUUCAAUAAAAUCGCUCCGAGGUCUUGACGAAGGAAUAAAGCUGGUGGUACAAUGUAGCAAAACAGGCUUUUUAUCGUGAGUGCUUUAUAUGGACGAUUAAGCGUGUUCAAAGGUCAAACAAAUGAGAAAAUUUGUUUUUUCAAAGAAGCUCGACGUGAAUACCAUUAGACAAUCAAUCAAGAGUUAUUCUAAUAUGGUUUGAAUUUGCUGAACAGUUGAAAUUGGGAGUAUAGAAAAGAGAGAUCGACUAGUAACUCAAGUUUCUAUUCAAUGGGAUAUUUUUCAUUUACACAAAGUGCAUUGAUCAACAAAAGAUAGAAAUCAACUGUCACCGUUCAUUUUUGUGAGGAAUUUGAGGCACAUUGAACACCUUACGUGAAGAAACCUACCUUUGAAGUCUCUCCCAAAUGAAGCUAAGAAGCAGAAGGAAAAAAGUAACAAUAUUAUAGACGAAAUUUUCAUUCUUCUCAUCAUUUAGCGAGCGAAAUUCCUCCUUGUAUAUGUAAGUGUAGUACUUGUCGUUUUAAUGCGAUAGCUUUUCACUAACUCGGUGAAUAAUUAACUACGUCAAAUUAUAACUUGGUCACGUGAUAGAUACGCCUUAACGCAAAUGAUGCUAAAACAAAGGGGAAAAUAGGAACAUUCAAACAAGGUCUGAGUAAAAUUCCAUCACACAAGUAACGACGUAUUUACACCUAAAUUUAAUUAAAUUUUAAAGUGAUAACGUACGCCUUAAUCAUGAACAGUAUGUACACCACCAUAGUGUGAUGUCAAUUGUUGAAUAUAUCAGUCUUUCGGAGGUUUUGUCUGUGUGCAUCAUAAAAUGCACAAAUUUCAAGGAUGAUUUUUCACAGGAACGAGAAGAUCCACGCUUGCAGAGGUGCACAUAGAUGAUUUUUACCCAUGCACAAAAAGCCUCCAAAUUAUUCUGUUCUUUGUGCUGCUGACCAACAAAUAGACCACGACUGUAGUGGUUAUGUUAAAAAAGUAAGGAGCUAUGUACUUGAUAUUUAUUCAUUCACAAUUUACAACACAACAGCUAAACAGCUAUUGUAUCCUUGUUCAUAUUCUAGCAUGAACAAAAGUGUUUUCUAAAUCGCUAUUGUAGGUUUGUAACCACUACUUUACAAUAUAAAUAGGCAAAAUUGAUUAUAGUGAAAUUGCAGGGUGCUGACUGCACAGGUGUGCAAGAAAAAAUCAUCGUUGAGCCUGCUCCACCUGUGAACCAGCCACAGCAAGUAAUUUUUCACCAGAGCCUAUCAGUGAAAAAAAAGAGUUAGUAUUACUAACAAUUUACAAGAAAGCUCAGCAAACUUAGAAGAACAUUCAUCAAUGAUUAAUAGCCAUUAAAUGGAAAUGUAAUUGAA